rnacentral:rRNA from 1 species
GAAGUAAAAGUCGUAACAAGGUUUCCGUAGGUGAACCUGCGGAAGGAUCAUUAUCGAAAUAAACCUGAUGAGUUGCUGCUGGUUCUCUAGGGGACAUGUGCACACUUGUCAUUUUUAUAUCUCUCCACCUGUGCACCUUUUGUAGACCAGAAUAUCUCUCUGAAUGCUUGUCAUUUAGGUUAUGAGGAUUGGCCAAGCCACUUUGCCUUUCCUUACACUUUCAGGUCUAUGUUUCUUCAUAUUACCCCCUUGUAUGUUACAGAAUGUAGUAAAAUGGGCCUUGGUUGGCCUAUAAACCUUUUUAUACAACUUUCAGCAACGGAUCUCUUGGCUCUCGCAUCGAUGAAGAACGCAGCGAAAUGCGAUAAGUAAUGUGAAUUGCAGAAUUCAGUGAAUCAUCGAAUCUUUGAACGCAUCUUGCGCUCCUUGGUAUUCCGAGGAGCAUGCCUGUUUGAGUGUCAUUAAUAUCUAUCAAUCUCAUAAGCUUUUGCUUGUUGAGUGUUUGGAUGUGGGGGGUUAUUAUUUGCUGGCCUGGUCAGCUCCCCUGAAAUGCAUUAGCGGAACAAUUUGUUGACCCCGUUCAUUGGUGUGAUAACUAUCUUACGCUAUUGACGUGAAGGCAAGGUUCAGCUUCUAACUAAGCUUGUCCAUUGACUUGGACAAAUCUUACAUUAAUGUGACCUCAAAUCAGGUAGGACUACCCGCUGAACUUAA